rnacentral:tRNA from 1 species
UGGGCUCAUGGUCUAAAGGAUAAGACAUCAACCUUCUAAGUUGCCUAUGGAGGUUCGAUUCCUCCUGAGCUCAA